rnacentral:rRNA from 1 species
UACAGAGGUCUCAAGCGUUGUUCGGAUUCAUUGGGUGUAAAGGGUGCGUAGGUGGCGCCGUAAGGCAGGUGUGAAAUUUCGGAGCUUAACUCCGAAACUGCAUUUGAUACUGCGGUGCUUGAGGACUGGAGAGGAGACUGGAAUUUACGGUGUAGCAGUGAAAUGCGUAGAGAUCGUAAGGAAGACCAGUGGCGAAGGCGGGUCUCUGGACAGUUCCUGACAUUGAGGCACGAAGGUCAGGGGAGCAAACAGG